CUGGUUGAUCCUGCCAGUAGUCAUAUGCUUGUCUCAAAGAUUAAGCCAUGCAUGUCUAAGUAUAAGCAAUCUAUACAGUGAAACUGCGAAUGGCUCAUUAAAUCAGUUAUCGUUUAUUUGAUAGUACCUUACUACUUGGAUAACCGUGGUAAUUCUAGAGCUAAUACAUGCUAAAAACCUCGACUUCGGAAGGGGUGUAUUUAUUAGAUAAAAAACCAAUGCCCUUCGGGGCUCCUUGGUGAUUCAUGAUAACUUAACGAAUCGCAUGGCCUUGUGCCGGCGAUGGUUCAUUCAAAUUUCUGCCCUAUCAACUUUCGAUGGUAGGAUAGUGGCCUACCAUGGUUUCAACGGGUAACGGGGAAUUAGGGUUCUAUUCCGGAGAGGGAGCCUGAGAAACGGCUACCACAUCCAAGGAAGGCAGCAGGCGCGCAAAUUACCCAAUCCCGACACGGGGAGGUAGUGACAAUAAAUACUGAUACAGGGCUCUUUUGGGUCUUGUAAUUGGAAUGAGUACAAUUUACAUCCCUUAACGAGGAACAAUUGGAGGGCAAGUCUGG
rnacentral:rRNA from 1 species